rnacentral:rRNA from 1 species
GACAGAGGGGGCAAGCGUUGUCCGGAUUUACUGGGCGUAAAGCGCGCGUAGGCGGAAGGUGAAGCGUGGCCUGAAAGCCCCCCGGCUCAACCGGGGAGGGCGGCUGCGAACUGGCCUUCUUGAGGGCGAUAGAGGGGGACGAAAUUCCUGGUGUAGCGGUGAAAUGCGCAGAUAUCGGGAGGAACACCAAUUGCGAAGGCAGCUCGCUGGGACGUCACUGACGCUGAGACGCGAAAGCGUGGGGAGCAAACAGG